rnacentral:rRNA from 1 species
GACGAACGCUGGCGGCGUGCUUAACACAUGCAAGUCGAACGGAAAGGCCCUGCUUUUGUGGGGUGCUCGAGUGGCGAACGGGUGAGUAACACGUGAGUAACCUGCCCUUGACUUUGGGAUAACUUCAGGAAACUGGGGCUAAUACCGGAUAGGAGCUCCUGCUGCAUGGUGGGGGUUGGAAAGUUUCGGCGGUUGGGGAUGGACUCGCGGCUUAUCAGCUUGUUGGUGGGGUAGUGGCUUACCAAGGCUUUGACGGGUAGCCGGCCUGAGAGGGUGACCGGCCACAAUGGGACUGAGAUACGGGCCAGACUGCUACGGGAGGCAGCAGUGGGGAAUAUUGCACAAUGGGCGGAAGACUGAUGGAGCAACGCCGCGUGCGGGAUGACGGCCUUCGGGUUGUAAACCGCUUUGGCCUGUGACGAAGAGAGAGUGACGGUAAUGGGUAAAGAAGCACCGGCUAACUACGUG